UAGGGAAUCUUCCGCAAUGGACGCAAGUCUGACGGAGCAACGCCGCGUGAGUGAAGAAGGAUUUCGGUUCGUAAAACUCUGUUGUUAGAGAAGAACAGCGCAUAGAGUAACUGUUAUGCGUGUGACGGUAUCUAACCAGAAAGCCACGGCUAACUACGUGCCAGCAGCCGCGGUAAUACGUAGGUGGCAAGCGUUGUCCGGAUUUAUUGGGCGUAAAGCGAGCGCAGGCGGUCAAUUAAGUCUGAUGUGAAAGCCCCCGGCUCAACCGGGGAGGGUCAUUGGAAACUGGUUGACUUGAGUGCAGAAGAGGAGAGUGGAAUUCCAUGUGUAGCGGUGAAAUGCGUAGAUAUAUGGAGGAACACCAGUGGCGAAGGCGACUCUCUGGUCUGUAACUGACGCUGAGGCUCGAAAGCGUUGGUAGCAAACAGG
rnacentral:rRNA from 1 species